AUUGAACGCUGGCGGCAGGCUUAACACAUGCAAGUCGAGCGGAGAUGAGGUGCUUGCACCUUAUCUUAGCGGCGGACGGGUGAGUAAUGCUUAGGAAUCUGCCUAUUAGUGGGGGACAACAUUCCGAAAGGAAUGCUAAUACCGCAUACGUCCUACGGGAGAAAGCAGGGGAUCUUCGGACCUUGCGCUAAUAGAUGAGCCUAAGUCGGAUUAGCUAGUUGGUGGGGUAAAGGACUACCAAGGCGACGAUCUGUAGCGGGUCUGAGAGGAUGAUCCGCCACACUGGGACUGAGACCCGGCCCAGACUCCUACGGGAGGCAGCAGUGGGGAAUAUUGGACAAUGGGGGAAACCCUGAUCCAGCCAUGCCGCGUGUGUGAAGAAGGCCUUAUGGUUGUAAAGCACUUUAAGCGAGGAGGAGGCUACUGAGACUAAUACUCUUGGAUAGUGGACGUUACUCGCAGAAUAAGCACCGGCUAACUCUGUGCCAGCCGCCGCGGUAA
rnacentral:rRNA from 1 species